rnacentral:rRNA from 1 species
UACGUAGGGUGCGAGCGUUAAUCGGAAUUACUGGGCGUAAAGCGUGCGCAGGCGGUUUGUUAAGACAGAUGUGAAAUCCCCGGGCUUAACCUGGGAACUGCGUUUGAAACUACAAGGCUAGAGUGUGGCAGAGGGGGGUGGAAUUCCACGUGUAGCAGUGAAAUGCGUAGAGAUGUGGAGGAACACCGAUGGCGAAGGCAGCCCCCUGGGUUAACACUGACGCUCAGGCACGAAAGCGUGGGGAGCAAACAGG